GAGAUAAAGUAAGUUUGGAAUAUUUUUUUUCAAGGUUUCGAGGAAAAAGUCUGAUGCAAAGGCUUCGUUCCUGAGGUGAAACUUUUUUCAGCAACGAAAACACGUUCAAAGAAUAAUAAACUACUACGUACUUUCAUUACUAACGAAUCGCUCCCAGUUUUCAUCGGUCAGAUUGCCCCAGGAGCCGUCCUCGGGAAAGUUCUUUAUACACUUUUGCGUGAGCACCCCCAUGUAAAUCUGGAGGCCCAUCAGCGCAAAGACGGAAAGAGAGAACAUCGUCAAGAUUAUCACAUCGCGCAGGUUCUUCACGGAUUCUAUCACAGCGCCGACAAUGGUUUUCAGACCUGGCGAACGAAACAAAAAAGGGGACCAGAUGGAUUGCGUGUGGAAAAAGAGAGAAAGAUAGAUAGAUGAUAAUGGAUCAAUCGAAGAAACGGAUGGAAGGAUCGUCAAAUUAAUAUAUUGUCUCUUUUCGUAAAAAAAAAAGAAAAAAAUGGAAGGAAGAAUCAUCGAUGGAAUGAAAAAUAAGAAACAAGAAGAAGAAAACAGAUGCUGUUAGCGGAAGGAUAAAGGCUGCUUCUUCGAAAAUUGAAAAAAAAAAAAAAAAAAAAAAAAAAAGAAUCGUGACGUUCAAUUCAAGUGGAAUGAUGCUUGAUCCGAUGAUUCGUGUCGAAGGAUGCAAGAAGGCUGGCGAGCAAAAAGAAUGACGCACGAAAAAAUGUAUGGAUGAGUGAUAUAGGCGUUUCGUUCAGACAGACAGAUAGACAUAAUAGUGAAAUAGGCUAAAUAGAUAUAAAAAUACAGAGAGGUAAUCAUUAUAAUAGAAUAAUAGGCGUUGUGUCGGUGAUGAUAUGCGACAGAAUGUAUGUGUGUAACAGCGAGCCGCGGCAAAAGUGUAUUUAUCUAUUUAAAAAAAAAAAA